GUAGAAAAAGCAGGUCUUGGUAACAGCUGCCAAGAACAGGAAGCCUGAAUGAACUAAUAGUUCUUCCUCUUCAUUUCUAAAUAAUACAGAAUAUAUUCUUUUACCACAACAGAAAUCAGAGAGAUCUUUGGAAAAUCCCCAGAUAUUUAGAAAUUCAAGAUCAUUCUUCUAAAUAAUCCGUGGACCAAAGAAGAAAUCAGAAGAGACAACUUAGAGAAUCCUUUGACCUGAAUGACUGCAAACAAAGCAUAUCAAAAUGUAUGGGGUGAAGUUAGAGGAAAGGUUUGCCCCUCAAGACUCAGCUGGAAACAGUCCAGAUCUCCAUGAGCAACGGCACACAAAGCGCGGCAGAGCCACACCAUAGCACACACUGCAAUGAAGUAGCAGCGACUUGGAACCCUGGAAUACCCUGCAAUGAGUUAAAAUCACAAGAGGGUGACAAGCAGUCAUGUAGAAUCACAAACAGUCCUGCCACACUUUCGAGCCUCCUGUGCUGGAAUUACAGACGUGGGGCAUUUCUGCUGCAGGUAUCGCUAUGUUGUUCAGGCUGCCCUUGAACUCACUAUGUAGCCCGGGCCAACCUCAAACUCAAGGAGAUCCUCCUGCUUCAGCCCUCUGAGUGUUGGGAUUACAAGUGUGCACCACACCUGGCAAGAAUGCAUUUUGAAGUUAAGAAAGCAUGAAAGCAUUUAGUUUAUUAAAGUCAACUGUUAAUUCUAAUCUCAUCUCUAAUAUAAGGUAAUGACAAAUAAUAUCAACAAGUAUGUAAAAGGUGAUCAAGGAACCAGAGGAGGGGUGGGGGGAGGUCAGGGAAGGGGAUUAGAGAAAAACCGAAGCUGUAAUAUGUACAUAUAACU
rnacentral:lncRNA from 1 species